UAGCGCAGCCUGGCUAGCGCACCUGCUUUGGGAGCAGGGGGUCGCCGGUUCGACUACCGCGGCG
rnacentral:tRNA from 1 species